UGGAUCUGUGGAAAUUAGGCACUAAAAAUUAGGAGCAGGAAAUCAGGGAAGUCUUCAAGAAAGAAGAGAUAUAUCUGGGAGGUUAAGGAUGGCCUAAGAUGAGAAGCAAAUGCUCAACUUUGCUUAGUUUGGCUAAAUUCAAAAGUAGUUCCUGCUCAUUUCCAAAGAAAGUCAAUCAAGGGCACUUAACAAUGCCUCAUGUUGUAAUACUCCCAUUUAUUUUAUUUUCAUUUUGGAAUUCAUCUUCUUUAGGUGGUCUGGGGUCCCAUUAGGAAUGCUAGCCCACUUUACACAGAAAACAGAAUUAUUGUUAAGGGUUAAGUGCAUGGGCUCUGGAAUGAGACCUUGGAAGGGUUGCUGCAUUUCCCCAUACUUUGGUUUCCUCAACAGUAAAACAGCAUUGAUAACAACUCCACUGGGUCAUUCUGUGAUUCAUCAUAUAAAACAGAAAGUUGCUGUGGACAAGAAGGCUGCUGGAACUGGCAAUGUCACCAAGUCUAUUCAGAAAGUGAAGAAGGCGAAGAUCUGAGGAGGCGUUGAGAAGCUACCGCAACCCCCAUUGCAAGCUGGGGCUCGUACACACGGAACACCACAGCUGAAGGGAAUAUGAGUUUUAUUCCUGUGGCAUGCAUCUGCUCACUUCUCAGGACCGAAUGCUCUCUGUCAGCUCUUACUGUCGGGAACUUGCUGUCUAUCUGGAGAUACAGACAACUGAAUGAAAAGGCACUCUGACAGUGUUUUACUGUGUAACUGGAACACACUAGAGGAAAAUAUAGCACAUAUUCUAUGGUACAUAUGGUAUGUGUUUGCAGAGGAUUGGAGGAGACAUGAGGACCAGCUGUCUGCAGAAAUGGAUAGCUAAGGAGAAAUCAGGAGAGCAUGCCAGAUUUAUCCAAGUAAGAGGGAGAAGAAGAGUGUUCUAAGUAGAGACAGCAGCAAGUCAAAGAAAGAGCCUCAAGUGAGCAAGUGAUGCACAUUUGGGCUGUGCAGUUGGCACAGCUGGAGCAGACACUGCAAGCUAGGAAGAAAGGAGCUGACUGUUCAAGAGGUAGGCAGGGACCAUCUAGCAGGGAUCAGAAAACUACGGGCCCCGGGCCGAAUCCAGCCAUAUCCAGUCACCUCUAUUCAUGGAUGUAUACCUGUUUUUACACUACAAUGGUAGAAUUGCAUACUGACAACAUAGAUCCUGGUCCACAAAGCCAAACAUAUUCACUAUCUGGCCCUUACAGAAACAGUCUGUUAUUGCAAAGAGACUCGGAUUUUAUGAGGGGAUUGGGAUUUCAGCAGGGGAGAGGCACGACACAUUUGCAUUUCAGACCUGCCUUUGUGGUGGUUGCCAUGGAGAGUGUGGAAUGAGACAGGGACGGACUAGGGUUGGAAGACCAGCAGUGUCUUACUUCUCUGAGGUCUACAGACCCCGUGCCAAGAAGACCAUGUCCCAGUUUUCUUUAUAUCACUUGCUGCACCAAAACAUCAUACACGGCUCAUCAAUGUUACCAAGUGAAUGAAUAUAUGAAUGAAUGGGCAAGAGAAGAUGAGAGAAACACGUAUUUUGGCACUGAAAACAGUAGUAAACAUUAUGAUGAUAAUUGUAACAAUAAAACAAUUACAUUUGGUUCUCUGUGCCCAUCUCUUCAGUAAGUAUAUUAUUUACAUUGGUGUAUUUAAUCCUCUUAACAAUCCCCUGAAGUAGAGACACAAUCCCCCAACCCCUCAUUUUAUAGAUGAUAAAACUGAGGUUAAACAGCAGGCCCAAGGUCACACUGGUUUUUGGUAUGUAAAGUAGUCAUGGUUUGAACUCAGAUCUGCCUUUCUCUAAAGUUUAUCUUCCUCCUUCCCAACUUUCCCAGGGCUGUGACAGGGGUCUCCCUUGGCCAGCACAUGCUUUGGAAAGACAAAUACAGAAAUGUCAGUGAUGGGCAUUUUAAGGUGUUCUCCAUCACAUCGAUACUCAGAAAGCCAAAUGAGGAUUAAAGAAAGCAUCCAUAGGACAAAGCCCUGAUCAUCAUAAUGGGUGCCAGUGGUAGCUCAUGUAUUUUGCUUCAGCAAGCCAAACCUUCCCCCUGCAGCAUCACAGGCCACCAGGGGAAGGGAGUCAGAGUCUGGCAUGACAGGAACACUUCAAAAGCUUGUUGUGAGUAAGGCUCUGCCAAUUUCACUGCCCAAGUCCCUCCUACCUGUUAGCCACGGCAGGGCUGGUGGCUUGCUCACUUUCAUACAUCGUCAUCAUUCAACAGUUUAUAGGUUUGAAGGGACCCAAUUCCCCUCCUCCACUUCCUUUGAUGAACCCCUCUUUCCCCUUCUCCUUUUAGGAUUUAUCUUGGCCUGAUGAGCCAUUUGUCCCAAGAACCCCUGAAGAGCAUUUCUGGGAACACAGUUGUGUAUAGGAGCUGAUUACACCACAACAGUAGCCCCGGAAAAACGAAGAAUACAUAUUGUCAAGUUAGUUUCUGGUACAGAACGAGUUUUUGAUGAACUGUGGCUUCCCUCAUACCCUACUUGCUACUCAGGAGGCCCCCAGCAAAUGGAUGAACACCUUUAAAACUUAAUGUUCCAUUUCUUCUCAUCUUUGUCUAAUUCUUCUUUCUUUUAGUGUGUCUUCUCCUGCUGAUAAUUGGAUUUUUCCAAGAAAAUUGACCAAGCACCUUCUUUACCAUCAGUUUAUGGUUACAGCAAUAUUCUGACCCAGUAAGGUUCUGUGAAUAACCCUCUACAACCUCAGACAGGACAUUCAUGUGAAGAUAAAAACUGCAAGUUGUCCCUGGAAGGCAAUAUAAUUGGAUCUUAUUGGGAGGCACCGAAAGCUACUGUCAGAAAGCUUUCUUGCGUAGAGCUAUGCUUUCUCCUGUCGUACAUAACUAUCCGUGUUCUUAACCAGCACCAGCACCUUCCAUACUGCAUUCCAUUUCACACCAUCUGUCAAAUAUUGGAUAGUGUGCCCUUCUAAACUUUGUGACUUGUGUGAAAUCCUCCCAGGCAAGAGCGGCCUCACAGAAUUGGUACUUCACACCAUUACCUGAGGAAUUCUGACCAGGUGCUGCAGAAAGAGAGCUCCAAAUUACUUAGACAGUAAAAGAAGUUUCUGUUUUCAUUGUCUUAAAUGUGCAGCCUGGA